GACGUAUAUGCAUGUAUAUGCAUGUGUGUAAGAGGUCUGCGAUCUCCAGCUUUCCCGCCUAGCUCGUGCGAUCGAGUCUCUUGGAGACAGCAAGGCGAAAAGAGAAGGGCGUACCAAAGGCGGUUAUAACACGCGAGAUCUACACGAGGGCAGAGACCGCGCACUCGUCCACUUCUCCAUACACACAUACUCAUACACGUACAUGCAUACGGGCGAUACGUGUUUUUUGCUCAGCUUGUGACUGGAAGCACUCUAAUCUCUCCGUCUUUGUGUGUUUCUGGCCAUCGCCUUCCCUCUUCUCCCCUCUCUCGGUGGAUGGUUGGCACAGGCACGAGAAGCUGUCGCACCAUCGCCCAGGCAUCACCGCACAACAAGGCGGAGCGGUGAGCAAGCACCGAAAAACAGACGAAAAGAAAGGAGAUCCGAUAAGGAGCCCUUGAAGAGUACAACAGCAGCAGCAGUGGUCGCCUUGAAUGGCGACAUCUACUCAGCCGCAUGCGACGCCGCCUUCCCCUCGCCCUCUCCAAGAGAUAUGCACAGCGACCACCCUGAAGCAGAUUUGCCGUUCAUCGGCAUGUAGUCACCUGAUGUUGUGACUCUCCUUCUCUCACUCCUCUUUGCGCACGGGUCGACGUGCUCAG
rnacentral:misc_RNA from 1 species